GUGAAUUUGAAUUGUGCUAUUCAAUAUUAUGUCAUUAAUUUUGAUCAAAUACAGGUAAUACUUCAUCAGGACGUAGUACUCCACGCGAUAGUCAAGCAAGGACACCGUCUGCUAUCCCAGGACCAACUGACAGCAGCCCAUUCACUCAUUUUUCCGAUCAGGAUAAUUCACCAGAUGAAUUGCUACCAUAUGUUACUGACCCACCGAGAUUUGAGGACAGCCAACAAGAACCGCGUUACGGUA